rnacentral:rRNA from 1 species
UACGUAGGGUGCGAGCGUUGUCCGGAAUUAUUGGGCGUAAAGAGCUCGUAGGCGGUCUGUCGCGUCGAUCGUGAAAACUUGGGGCUUAACCCUGAGCUUGCGGUCGAUACGGGCAUGACUGGAGUUCGGCAGGGGAGACUGGAAUUCCUGGUGUAGCGGUGAAAUGCGCAGAUAUCAGGAGGAACACCUGCGGCGAAGGCGGGUUGCUGGGCUGACACUGACGCUGAAGCGCGAAAGCUAGGGGAGCGAACGGG